rnacentral:rRNA from 1 species
CCUACGGGAGGCAGCAGUGAGGAAUAUUGGUCAAUGGACGAGAGUCUGAACCAGCCAAGUAGCGUGAAGGAUGACUGCCCUAUGGGUUGUAAACUUCUUUUAUAUGGGAAUAAAACGUUCCACGUGUGGGAUUUUGUAUGUACCAUAUGAAUAAGGAUCGGCUAACUCCGUGCCAGCAGCCGCGGUAAUACGGAGGAUCCGAGCGUUAUCCGGAUUUAUUGGGUUUAAAGGGAGCGUAGGUGGAUUGUUAAGUCAGUUGUGAAAGUUUGCGGCUCAACCGGAAAAUUGCAGUUGAAACUGGCAGUCUUGAGUACAGUAGAGGUGGGCGGAAUUCGUGGUGUAGCGGUGAAAUGCUUAGAUAUCACGAAGAACUCCGAUUGCGAAGGCAGUUCACUGGACUGCAACUGACACUGAGGCGCGAAAGUGUGGGUAUCAAACAGGAUUAGAUACCCGUGUAGUC